GUAACGAUGGCUGAGGGGUUCCACCUGUUCCCAUACCGAACACAGAAGUUAAGCCCUCAAACGCUGAUGGUACUUGGCUGGCAACGGCCCGGGAGAGUAGGUAGUCGCCG
rnacentral:rRNA from 1 species